rnacentral:tRNA from 1 species
AAAAAUGGAGAUUAAUUAUCCUCCCUAAGAC